rnacentral:lncRNA from 1 species
ACCCAAGUUAAGCAAAAUUCAAUAAUUUGACGAUAUAAAAAUUUAAUAAUAUGGCACAAAUAAAUGCACAAAUUGCAGUUAUCAUUUAUAAAGGACACAGAACCAACUCUAACACAACAAAAGGCAGAGCAUCUGAUUAGAAGCCUUCAUUUUCCCCAUUAAGCUAGGUUCAUAGGCAAGAUCAUCUACAUCAAUAAACGUAAAUAUGACCACCGUAGACCUGUAAAUACUGAGAAAUCAAUCCCUCCAUUAGAAUCAAACUACUUAAUUUUCUAAUAUAUACACCAACUUUUGACUUUUAUUACAUGCAUUAUGAAAAGCAUCCGGUGGACAAAAUAAAGCACUGAUGUCAAAAGAGUGACUCAAUCUUAACCAAAUCUCAAGCGUUGAUUUUUUAAUCUUAAAAGGAGAAUCUCACACAAUAAUUCUGUAAGAAAUUAAAUGACAUCCAAAAUUUAAAAUUAUGGAUAAAAAAUAGACAUGUUCCAACUGGGCAAGAAUAAAAUCAUGGAGAACAAAUGCAAUGGCAUAUUUAUGCCAAAUGUAGGCAAUAGCCUCAUCAAGGAACUAGCAAUCUCUGUGAAUUUAUGCUACUAACAUAAUGAAAUAGGUGUACUUACUGACCAUUUGCACAGAUCAAAGCUAUUUCACUGUUGUAUAAGUUGCUCAUGUUUCAGAAAAUAUGAUGAUCCACUAAACACAUACUUUUAUUUUUUAUUUCCCACACACCUGCAUGUAUUUGGGCGCAAAAUUGUGUCAGCGAACGAAUUUUCUCCAACCUUUUCCUUUUCCAAUUGAAUGAUUACUUUUUAAACCGAAUGAAUCUCAAAUGAGGUCUGAAGCACAAGGCUUAUCUUGUUGGAGCUCGGUAAACCCAUUAUAGUUAAUGCAUUCAGAUAUACAUGAACAAGAAAUACCGAGCAAACAUGCGACAGUAUCCUUUGGUCAAAAUCAUACAUAUACAUCAAGAAUGAAUGAUUCACCAAUUAAAUGGUGUGUCAUGUCAUCGGUGCUUAAUAUAAGCUAAACACCGAUGUUUAGGAGAUCAUUUCCGAUAUAUACAUUAUGGGCAUUAAUGAGAGAUGAAAUGUAGCGUCAAUGGCCAAUAUGAAAAGUGAAAACACAUCAUACAUAUACAAGUAUGAAUAUAUACACAAUUCACGAAUUACAGGCCAUUAAACACAAGCUAAUAUAGGUGACUUACUGACCAUUCACACAUCGAAUUGUUUAAUGUGACUGGCUAAUUGAUCACCAAUAAUUACCAAUAAAACACCCAUAAGUAAUGUAAAAUCCAGCAUGUUUAACAUAAAUGUUAGAGCUUACAUGGUUUGCUAAUCGGUCACAAGAAAAUACUUAAAUGGGGAUAAAUGGAAAUUAAGCAAGUUGCAACCUCUGAACAAGUGAUAAUUACAGAAACAAAUUAACCAAUGCAUAAAACAAGUAAACAGAUUUGGAUAUAUGGCCCAAAUUAGCAAGGUAUGAUCUUUGAAAUGUACAAACUCUGNCCCAAAAAUAAUACGUGAGACGUUGAAUUUCCUUCUUUCAGGUUCGAAUGCAACGCCAUUUUCAUCUUCUUCAUAGAGAAUUCUUCGUCAACAUAGUCAGGAGACCUCUUCUCACUUUUAUCAACAUUGGUUGAGGUUUUAAACACUUCUUUGACAGCUGGGGGGGGGUCUUGUUCCUUAUAUUCUGACAAAAUGGUUAUAGAUCCUGUAAUUCGACGUUAAGGAGAACGUGCACUUCCAUUUUCGUCAUCACUAUCUCCACAGAUGCCGAAGCUUCCCCUCCAUUAAUACCCUCUUUGGAAGCCAGCGACAACUUCCGUCAAGGGGUAGCCAACUUACGACAUUCAACUUCCGACCGUGGGAUAUAGACGGAGCCCAUGGGUAUGUGAGGUAAUGAGAUCGAUCUGUGUAGUAAAUUAACCCCUUUUCUUGAUUAAUUGAACUGGGGAUCUUGGAUUUGCAUGGAUGGUGGUGUUUAGUUUUCUGCAAGAUGGAGAGAGAGGAAUAUGAAAUGGAUUUUUUGGGAAAGUGCAAGUUAUUGGGAGAAUUGAAUUGACCGUAAUUGAUGCUUUCCAACUUAAUACACCUGCUUAUUUGUUCUCCUAUUCAGUUUUCCAAAAUACUGUAUAAAAAGUAAUAUAAUUAGAAUAAGAAUACAGUGGCAUGUAGAAUAGACAAUAAUAUAAAUUAAACCUAAAAUUUUCCCUUCAUAACUCAAACGCACAAAGCCACAUAUCACUCGGCAGUUCAAACCUAAAAUCAAGCAAUUCUAUCCAAUUCCAAUUUCCAAACUUUACUUUCCGCUGCCAGCACUCAAGCUAAGCCACCGUAGAAUCACCGACGUUUAGCCAUCGACAACUGCAGCACUACACCACCACUGUAUCACUGAUAACUAAUUCCACUCGUGAUGGCGGGACAUGAGUGGUGAGCCUCCUGCCUCUCUUCAUUUCUCUUUUUUUUUUUUUUUUUGGUUUCUGUUCGUCUAGUUCGUUUAUUGAUUUAUUAUUUAUCAAAUUAUGAGUUAUCAGUUAAAAUAAUCAGUUAUGAUUUAUGAAUUUAUGUUUUAUGAGUAUUUACUGUUAGUUUGUGACUUCAUGAGUCACGAACCUCUAAUAGUAUUUACGAAAAUUGGAGGCUUCAUGAGUUUGAGGAUAUGCGAUAUCAUAUAUGUGGACUAUGAAAUUCGUGAAAAUUGAGGAUUUUGUGAAAAUUAGGGAUUUUGGAAAUAAAAACUCUUAGUAAUUGUUGACUUAUGGAAUCUACUAGUAUUUGUGAAAUUUGGAAAUGGAAACUUGAUGAUUGUUAAUAUGUGAUUUACGUUUUCCUGCAUUUAUAUAUUAAUUAAAAUUUUUUAAUAUUAUUUAAUAAAAUAUUAAUAAACGAUCUUGUUAAUGCAUCAGUCGACGGUUACCAACUGCCCUAGUUGGCUCCAACUCCUAGAUCCACCACUGACCAAGACAAAAUAGUGAAGAGAAAGGUAACGUUUACUUUGUAAAGGAAAUCUAGUCCCCGUUUGAUCCCCAUUUUUGGGUAAAAUAUGUUAUAGAAUAGUGAUUUUUUGAAUAAUAUGUGGUUAAAAAGCAAGAAAAAUGUUUAAAAUACGCGUAUAGUUAUUUUAUGGGAGAAUGUAUAGUUGAAAAUGAGAUUUGAAAAAAUAAAUUCUUGAAAAAAUGGGGCUCAAAUAGGGCAAUCAUAAUUCGUAUUCCUGAAAUCUAAUGUUGUAGUUCCUCUUAUCCACUUUUUUGUUUUCCUCCGGCUUGUUCAUUAGUAUGCAUGUAAUGUUUAUUGAAGACAGAGAUUGGUUAUAUUAUUUCCAUUUUCUUUUAUAAUUUCAACCCUGGUUAAUACCUGCCAUGCUACAACUGCAAGAUGUCUUAGCUAAAUUGCAAUUACAAAAUAUGAAUAUUGUGCUAAGUACUAAACCUCUUACAAGAGCUAUAAAAGUUCGCUUGCUCAAAGUCAGAAAUGGAAUAUAAAAUACUAGAGAAUCGAUAUUGGUUAUUAUCUGUCCUUUUGUUCAACAAAAUACCAUAAAUCCAGAUCCAUAUCCUUAACUUCCUUAAUAAAUUGCAGGAAAUUGGGUUGUUUAAAUUAAAUCUCGAGUUUAUUAAUCACAAAAUUUGAUGUAGUCCCUGAAAUUCUGGAAGGCACUUGUAACAUCAAACACAUCUCACUUCAAGGAAGUCAACAAAAACUCAUGUCGCUAAAGUGCAAGCUAAGUGAAAAAGAUCAAAUACUAUUUAGUAAUAGGACAUGUGAAGAACGAAAUUACGAAGAACGAAAUUACAUUGUUUUUUAGUUGUGCAUAGAAACAAUUAGGCAAUACCACAUGGUUUAACUCAUUAAAUAGAUACAAUAAAUUAUGACAUAUAAUCAGAACAGCAAAAAUGUUUUUUUUUUCUUUUUGCUUACUAAUGAAAAAAAAAACCAAAAUCAAGAAAAUCAAUCGAACCUAAAGAUUAAUCAAGAACGGCAAAACCAAACAAGCUUUCUUGACUAAACACCUACAAUCAUCAAUUAAUUCCACAAGAUGAACAAGAAGCUCAAUCUUGGAAGCUUACUGAAAGAUGUCUUGAAUAAAUAUAAUAACAUGAAAAUUAAUUCAACGAUAUAACUUUUCACUUCUAAAAAUAAUUAUCUUUUAUUUUAUUUUUUUCUCAAAAUGUUUUCUCAGUUAUAUAUUAACAAGAUACCAUGACAUCUACUUUUAUUCUUAAUCCUUAUCACACGUAAAAAAACAUAUGUUUGAAAUUUCUAAUAUUUUGAGUUUAGAUAAGAUACGACAGCCCAAAAGUUUUGAGAUUUUGGAUUAUUACUUCUUUUCACCCCCUGACUUCCCUUCUUAAUGUUUCAAUGUUAUAUCCCAAUCUCCUCUCCCUUUUUCUUAAGAAUCAAGAUUGCUUUCAAUCUCGGAAUAUCCAUUUGUGUGGCCAUUCCUUCCUUCUGCUAGAUGAACAGCAAGGGAAUUGUCACUAAAAACCAUAUGUCCCCCAUAAUUAUCUGCAAUUGCCUUUCUUAAUCUCUAUAUUUUCCUUUGGAAUCAAACAGAUCCCUGUUUGUAGAAUCGAGCAGCUAUUGUAGAUGGAAAGAAUACAAAUGCACUUCACAAAGAGUCUCAAAGUUUUGCAAUCUGAUCUUGUAUUUCUAGCAUCAUGUAAUCUUUUCUCUUUAAUUGUUGUCUCAACUUUUGUAUCACUUCUUGCUUGCUGGAUAUGUCAAACCAGUUUCUGAGACAUGGUGAAUCAGAGCUAUUUUCAAAAGUCAAAUCCUACGUUCUUGCAGAUAUAUUAUACAAACUGCGAAAAUACAUACACAACAACACAUAAAUCUACCACUAAUUGGCUCAUCUCAACAGGAAAAAAUUCACUUCAACUCUUUUUUACGGCGUAUACUACAAAGAUAAUAUGGUCAACAUAAGGUUGUGAAACAUAAUAGAAAUCCCUUUUGGAGAAUUUUAAACGUUGCUUUAAAAUUAUCAAAAAUCAAACGACAUAGAUAAAGAAUAGAAUGUUGGAAUACACAUGCACCAAACAUCAGCAGAUUCCAGCAUCAUGUGUGCACCAGAUUCUAGAGACUUCCAUCUCAACAUAUCAGAUUCCAAAACGGUUGUGUCCAGCUGUCUUAGUUGUUAGUUAGUUAUUGAUUAGUUUGUUAAUUAGCUAAUUAGUUAGUUAAUUACUUUAGCCAUUUUGCUCUAUAAAUACAGCACCGUGGAUGAAUUUUUAGUCUAUUGGAUUGUCCUCCAAUCCCUCCUUCCAUGGAGAUUUCAUUUCCUCCUAUUAUGGAGUGUCUUCCUCCUUUUAUGGAGCUGUUCAUUUCCUCCUUUCAUGGAGUGUAAUUCAUCUUCUCCUUCAUGGAGUUUAAUACAUUGUUUCUCAUUCAAUAAAUUCUAAUAUAGAAAGCAAUAUAUGUGGUAUGGAAAUACUUGAAUGAUAUAAAAUUAAUUGCUUGUGAAUUUCUUUGCUUUUGUUUUUUGUGGUGAUAAUUAAACAGUAUAGAGCUGAGUCAUACAAAAGAUUUGUGACGAAGAAUUAUGUUAUCUAGUUCUUAAUGUUUUCAUUUUCAAUUAUGCUAGGUACAUAGAUUUGAAGGUACGCACAACACGAUUACCUAAAGAAGGAUAUUGCUCAAAUGUUACAGCCUAGCUCGCACGCUUGCAGAAUCCUCUAGAUAGGUUGUGAAGUGUAAAAAUUGAUGCUCGCACAUCAAGAAAAGAGCUUUUCAAGCAGAAUCAAAAUAUUGGAAUGAACAUACCUCAAGUGAAUCAAGAUGUUUGAAAGCAUCAAUAAAGUAAAGCAAAACUGAAACCCAAUAAUAAAUGAGUUUUAUUUUUUUCGCUAAUUCAUGAACAAAUUCUAAGAAAAUUUAGGGCUUCUUGUCAUUGAAGUGGUACCUUUAACCAACUCAAAUCCCAUGAAACACUACCAACUUCCGUAAUUCGAUAAAACAUUGAGCACAAAUUGCAAAAUUAAUAAGCACAAACAAAAAGCACUAGAUCUAGCACCUUGAAUUUUUCUACAGAACAAGUGUAUCUAAAAAAAACUCUUUUCAGUUUGGUAGGAGGAGACGCUGCACCAAGGUGGCAAUUGUCGCUGCUGAAGUGGAAGUUGCCACCGCUGCUAACCCUGAAAUUUUGGAAAACAUCACUCCAUAACCAAAUUUUGAAGAUAUCUUGAAAAUGAAAAUCAAAUCUACAAAAGAAGUUUUCAGAUCUAAAAACAAAGAUAAAACCAAAGACAAAAUGAAUGUUCUAGAAUGAGAAAAAGCGAAAGGAACACUUAUUCUCUUUUAAUCACACAAAACGAUGUUGUUUAAAAAUUCAGCUUAUGUCCAAUUGACUCGAUAAACUUGGCUUAGUCCAAAAUGGCUGAGUAAUCGGCUUGUGAAC